UACUUCCAUAGUUUUAUACAUAUGGUUGUCGUGGUUGGAUAUGCCGUAAACAUUUAUAUCUUAUACAUUUUCUUUUGUUUUGCUUCAGUUAUGGCUGUUGUAUUAGUGGUUAGUGGUAAUUGUUUUAAUUUUCCUUAAUGUAGGAUCGAAUUGCAUGUGGAUUUUGGAGCUUAGAUUGUAGGCGAUUUGGGGUGACUAAUGAAAGAGUGAUAGGGAGAGCUCAUGUGAAUGUAUUUUACGCCGUAGUUAUUUUGUUGGUUUACUAUGUUCGCAGACCUUGAUUUCCAAGUAACUAUUUUUUUGUUUCGACUCAUUUUUUCUUGUCUGUUAACGUGGUUUAUUUUUUUGACACAUCUGUUGUUGUAUUUAGUAAUUUUUGGUG
rnacentral:lncRNA from 1 species